rnacentral:rRNA from 1 species
UUAUAGAGUGGCGCACGGGUGAGUAACGCGUGGGAACUGCCUUUUUCUGCGGGAUAACGGUUGGAAACGACCGCUAAUACCGCAUACGCCCUACGGGGGAAAGGUCCGCCGGAGAAAGAGGGGCCCGCGUCUGAUUAGCUUGUUGGUGGGGUAACGGCCCACCAAGGCGACGAUCAGUAGCUGGUCUGAGAGGAUGAUCAGCCACACUGGGACUGAGACACGGCCCAGACUCCUACGGGAGGCAGCAGUGGGGAAUAUUGGACAAUGGGGGCAACCCUGAUCCAGCAAUGCCGCGUGCGUGAUGAAGGCCUUAGGGUUGUAAAGCACUUUCACUGGUGAAGAUGAUGACGGUAACCAGAGAAGAAGCCCCGGCUAACUUCGUGCCAGCAGCCGCGGUAAUACGAAGGGGGCGAGCGUUGUUCGGAAUUACUGGGCGUAAAGGGCGCGUAGGCGGUCUUUUAAGUUAGGCGUGAAAUCCCCGGGCUCAACCUGGGAACCGCGCUUAAAACUGGAGGACUAGAAAACGGAAGAGGGUAGUGGAAUUCCCAGUGUAGAGGUGAAAUUCGUAGAUAUUGGGAAGAACACCAGUGGCGAAAGCGGCUACCUGGUCCGAUUUUGACGCUGAGGCGCGAAAGCGUGGGGAGCAAGCAGGAUUAGAUACCCUGGUAGUCACGCCCGAAACGAUGUCUGCUAGAUGUCGGGGGGUUGCACUCGGGGUCGCCGGUAACCAUUUAGCAGACGG